UACAGGGGGGUGCAAACGUUGCUCGGAAUCAUUGGGCGUAAAGCGCACGUAGGCGGUUCGUUAUGUCGGAUGUGAAAGCCCUUGGCUUAACCGAGGAAGUGCAUCCGAAACUGGCGAGCUAGAGUACGAAAGAGGAUCGCGGAAUUCCCAGUGUAGAGGUGAAAUUCGUAGAUAUUGGGAAGAACACCGGUGGCGAAGGCGGCGACCUGGUCCUUGACUGACGCUGAGGCGCGAAAGCGUGGGGAGCAAACAGG
rnacentral:rRNA from 1 species